UACAGAGGUCCCAAGCGUUGUUCGGAUUCACUGGGCGUAAAGGGUGCGUAGGUGGUGAGGUAAGUCGGAUGUGAAAUCUCGGAGCUCAACUCCGAAAUGGCAUUGGAAACUGCCUUGCUAGAGGGUUGGAGGGGGGACUGGAAUUCUCGGUGUAGCAGUGAAAUGCGUAGAGAUCGAGAGGAACACCGGUGGCGAAGGCGAGUCCCUGGACAACUCCUGACAAUGAGGCACGAAAGAUAGGGGAGCAAACAGG
rnacentral:rRNA from 1 species